AUUGAACGCUGGCGGCAGGCCUAACACAUGCAAGUCGAGCGGUUGACGGGAGCUUGCUCCCUGAUUCAGCGGCGGACGGGUGAGUAAUGCCUAGGAAUCUGCCUAUUAGUGGGGGACAACGUCUCGAAAGGAACGCUAAUACCGCAUACGUCCUACGGGAGAAAGCAGGGGACCCUCGGGCCUUGCGCUACUAGAUGAGCCUAGGCCGGAUUAGCUUGUUGGUGAGGUAAUGGCUCACCAAGGCGACGAUCCGUAACUGGUCUGAGAGGAUGAUCAGUCACACUGGAACUGAGACACGGUCCAGACUCCUACGGGAGGCAGCAGUGGGGAAUAUUGGACAAUGGGCGAAAGCCUGAUCCAGCCAUGCCGCGUGUGUGAAGAAGGUCUUCGGAUUGUAAAGCACUUUAAGUUGGGAGGAAGGGUUGUAGAUUAAUACUCUGCAAUUUUGACGUUACCGACAGAAUAAGCACCGGCUAACUCUGUGCCAGCAGCCGCAGUAA
rnacentral:rRNA from 1 species